rnacentral:rRNA from 1 species
CACGUAGGGCGCAAGCGUUGUCCGGAAUUAUUGGGCGUAAAGAGCUCGUAGGCGGUCUGUUGCGUCUGCUGUGAAAACUCGGGGCUUAACCCCGAGCCUGCAGUGGAUACGGGCAGACUAGAGGUAGGUAGGGGAGAAUGGAAUUCCCGGUGUAGCGGUGAAAUGCGCAGAUAUCAGGAGGAACACCGGUGGCGAAGGCGGGUCUCUGGGCCGAUACUGACGCUGAGGAGCGAAAGCGUGGGGAGCAAACAGG